CAGCCGUAAACUAUGCUCGCUAGGUGUCAGGGACGGUGCGACCGUUCCUGGUGCCGCAGGGAAGCCGUGAAGCGAGCCACCUGGGAAGUACGGUCGCAAGGCUGAAACUUAAAGGAAUUGGCGGGGGAGCACUACAACGGGUGGAGCCUGCGGUUUAAUUGGACUCAACGCCGGAAAACUCACCGGGACCGACAGCAACAUGAAGGCCAAGCUGAAGACUUUGCCGGAUUAGCUGAGAGGUGGUGCAUGGCGUAGUCGUGU
rnacentral:rRNA from 1 species